AUUGAACGCUGGCGGAAUGCUUUACACAUGCAAGUCGAACGGCAGCACGGACUUCGGUCUGGUGGCGAGUGGCGAACGGGUGAGUAAUGUAUCGGAACGUGCCCAGUCGUGGGGGAUAACGUAGUGAAAAUUACGCUAAUACCGCAUACGAUCUAUGGAUGAAAGCGGGGGAUCGCAAGACCUCGCGCGAUUGGAGCGGCCGAUAUCAGAUUAGGUAGUUGGUGGGGUAAAGGCCCACCAAGCCAACGAUCUGUAGCUGGUCUGAGAGGACGACCAGCCACACUGGAACUGAGACACGGUCCAGACUCCUACGGGAGGCAGCAUGGGGGAAUUUUGGACAAUGGGCGAAAGCCUGAUCCAGCCAUUCCGCGUGCAGGAUGAAGGCCCUCGGGUUGUAAACUGCUUUUGUACAGAACGAAAAGGUUUCUACUAAUACUAGGAGCUCAUGACGGUACUGUAAGAAUAAGCACCGGCUAACUACAUGCCAGCCGCCGCAGUAA
rnacentral:rRNA from 1 species